GGUUUAAAGCCAUGAGAAGGGAUUAGAUCAACAAUGCAGUGAGUAUAAAUAGAGUGCCAGGGACUGAGCCUCAGGACAGUCCACCAAGAGCUCAGGGUGAGGGAGAGAAUUGGAGACUGAGGAGGGGUGCUCAGUAGAGUGUGAGGAAUCCAAAGGAGUUGGUGUCCUGGAAGGCAAAUGAAGAAGGUGGUUAGAGGAGAAGGGAGGAUUAACCAUGUUCAAUGUGGCUGAUAAGAUUAGGACUGAGAAUUGACUGUUGGAUUUAAACAGUGAAGGUCCCUGGCAAUGACAAGUGUAAUUCUCAAGAGGAUUUGGGGAAAAGUAAAUGAAGUGGUUUUAAAUGACAACAGAAGGAGAGGAAUUGGAGACAGCAAGGAACAACAGAAUAUAAUUGGACCAGGUGCACUGUGGAGUGGAGUUGGCUGUAUUUAUAACAGGCAUCUGAGGAAAGGAAAAGAUAUUACAGGUUGUUGGAAACAUGAUGAAGACUUUAUGGGGAGGUGGGGACUUGAGUCAUUUUCCUCAUUCUUUUUUUUUUUUUUGAGGUGGACCAUUUUUAAAGUCUUUAUUGAAUUUGUUACAAUAUUGCUUCUAUUUUAUGUUUUUAGGUUUUUUUGACCACGAAGCAUGUGGGAUCUUAACUCCCCAGCCAGGGAUCGAACCACACCGCCUGCACUGGAAGGCUCUGGACGCGCAGGCUCAGUGGCCAUGGCUCACGGGCCCAGCUGCUCCGUGGCAUGUGGGAUCUUCCCGGACCGGGGCAGGAACCCGUGUCCCCUGCAUCGGCAGGCGGACUCUCAACCACUGCGCCACCAGGGAAGCCCGAGGUAAUUAAUUUUUAACGUAUUAAUGAAGGGAAAAAAUACCCUCAAAUCAGUGCCAUUUCAAAAUUCCUAAGAUUAAGCUUUUGAGGGAAGAGAAUCAGAUGGUGUAGGUAAAAAGAUGGUGGCAGUAUCAUUCAUUUUAGUUUUAUACACAGAUAUUUGAAGCAAAUCAAAUAUGAUAGGAAAGACGGAAUCUGGUUUUUAGGAAAAGAUUAUUGUUUUGUUUUCAGUUUUAACAGAGUUCAAGGUUGAAUAGCAAGGGGUGACCAAGAAUUUUAGUGACAAAGUUUUCAGAUACUGGAGGAGGGAUAGUAAGAAAAAGAAUCUGUUUUACAUGUAAAAUGCCUGAUAAAUAUUUCUUAAUGGUGAUUAUGAUAAGCUUUCUCAAAACCUGAACUUUUUUUUUUUGAUUAGGCAACUCAGGAUUGGCUUGUGGUACAGGGAAAAAAGGUUCUUUAGCUUUUCAGUCCUUAGUGGUAAAGACUAAUGUGAUCUGUCCCAGAUGUUAAUCAAUAUGCUUAAGUUUGGGUUGGUCCAGUACUUAACUUACUGUGUGAUUUUGAGAAAAUUACUUAACUGUUCUGCUUUUCAUUUAAUCUCUGUCAAGGGAACCUAACAACACAUAUUCUAUGAAUCUUAUUCGAUUAUUGUGAGGGUCAAAUAAGAUAAUGGGUGUUAAUACAAAGAGUUACUAAACUCCACUGAUAAUCAAAAAUUCUGUGUACUCUGUCUCAAAAUGGUCUGAAAAACCAUUACUCUGCACUGUUUAAAAGGAGUAUUUGAUCAGGGAACCUAAGUCAGCCAAAGGAAAGGCCUUGAGAUCCAUCCAGUGCCCACAUUCUCUCAGGUGACACAGUUGUAAGUUCAUAUCAUCACCAGAAAUCAUUUCAACAUCAGCGAAUACAAGAACAGUGGUACGGGAGCCGCUCGUAAACCUCCCUGUUUCCUGCUGUGCUUGUUGAGCAGGUCAGUAGAGGCUGUCACUAUGUCCCGCUGGCCAUUUCUCUUUGCGCCUGUAACUCAGCAGCCAGCUUGUGUUCCUUCCUCAUUUAAAUACUGUUACUCACUUGGAAUGCCAAGUGGGAAAAUGCUGGCAAUGCAAAGGUUAAUAGAAGCGCUGACAAAACCCUAAUUGCCUCGCACAGUAUCUCUAUAAUUGUAGCUAGCACUUAUCUCAGUUUCUCAUACUCGUUCAGCCCAUUGAGAUCUGCCUCAAGCUGAGGAUGAAAAGGGGGCCUCUGGAGUCGGCUGAAUGAGCAGGGUCUGAUAGAGUUAUCAGGCUUUUGCAGAUAGGAUGCCCUGCCGCUGUUGGAUGUGUUGUCAUAAUCAGUGUGUAGGCCAAACACCUGGACUUCUGCAAGAACCACCACUCCCCUUCCCACCUUGAUUCUGUACUGGUGCCUAGUCCUUUCGCUGACUGGGAGGGACAGAUGAAACUGAAAGGAACAAAGGUGCCAGUCUGAACUGGUCCUCAGAUGCUUGACUGAACGUUUCCCAUUAGGUCAUUGUUUACCCUCAUUUGAAUAUAUGUUUAUUUUCAUACAGGGAGGCUUGGAAACAUGCCCAACUCAUCGACAGCAACUGACUGUAGCAUUUGAAGCCCAAGCAUGCUGAGGCUUGUUGAGUGUAAUUGGCCGUGCUACAUAGUGAUGGCUUUGGGAGGGUGGAGAUGCUAAUGUUGCAACUUUGGGAUAUCAAGUCAGCUAAUUUAACAAGGACCCAGACUUCUUAUUAUCAAGAGGCUAAUGAUA